GAUGAACGCUGGCGGCGUGCUUAACACAUGCAAGUCGAACGAAGCACUUAUGAAAGAUUCUUCGGAUGAUGGAUUAAGUGACUGAGUGGCGGACGGGUGAGUAACGCGUGGGUAACCUGCCUCAUACAGGGGGGAUAACAGUUAGAAAUGACUGCUAAUACCGCAUAAGCGCACAGUAUCGCAUGAUACCGUGUGAAAAACUCCGGUGGUAUGAGAUGGACCCCGCGUCUGAUUAGCUAGUUGGUGAGGUAACGGCUCACCAAGGCGACGAUCAGUAGCCGGCCUGAGAGGGUGAACGGCCACAUUGGGACUGAGACACGGCCCCAAAAUCCUACGGGGAGGCAGCAGUGGGGAAUAUUGCACAAUGGGGGAAACCCUGAUGCAGCGACGCCGCGUGAGUGAAGAAGUAUUUCGGUAUGUAAAGCUCUAUCAGCAGGGAAGAAAAUGACGGUACCUGACUAAGAAG
rnacentral:rRNA from 1 species